rnacentral:rRNA from 1 species
AUGAACGCUGGCGGCGUGCCUAAUCCAUGCCAGUCGAGCGAACAGAUGAGGAGCUUGCUCCUCUGACGUUAGCGGCGGACGGGUGAGUAACACGUGGAUAACCUACCUAUAAGACUGGGAUAACUUCGGGAAACCGGAGCUAAUACCGGAUAAUAUAUUGAACCGCCUGGUUCAAUAGUGAAAGACGGUUUUGCUGUCACUUAUAGAUGGAUCCGCGCCGCAUUAGCUAGUUGGUAAGGUAACGGCUUACCAAGGCAACGAUGCGUAGCCGACCUGAGAGGGUGAUCGGCCACACUGGAACUGAGACACGGUCCAGACUCCUACGGGAGGCAGCAGUAGGGAAUCUUCCGCAAUGGGCGAAAGCCUGACGGAGCAACGCCGCGUGAGUGAUGAAGGUCUUCGGAUCGUAAAACUCUGUUAUUAGGGAAGAACAAAUGUGUAAGUAACUAUGCACGUCUUGACGGUACCUAAUCAGAAAGCCACGGCUAACUACGUG